UACGGGGGGGGCAAGCGUUGUUCGGAAUUACUGGGCGUAAAGGGCGCGUAGGCGGCCUGCUAAGUCGGACGUGAAAUCCCUCGGCUCAACCGGGGAACUGCGUCCGAUACUGGUGGGCUCGAAUCCGGGAGAGGGAUGUGGAAUUCCAGGUGUAGCGGUGAAAUGCGUAGAUAUAGGAAGGAACACCAGUGGCGAAGGCGACCACCUGGACUGAUACUGACACUGAGGUGCGAAAGCGUGGGGAGCAAACAGG
rnacentral:rRNA from 1 species